rnacentral:rRNA from 1 species
UACGAAGGGGCUAGCGUUGCUCGGAAUUACUGGGCGUAAAGCGCACGUAGGCGGCUCUUAAGUCGGUGGUGAAAUCCUGGAGCUCAACUCCAGAACUGCCUUCGAUACUGUUUGGCUUGAGUAUGGUAGAGGUUGGUGGAACUGCGAGUGUAGAGGUGAAAUUCGUAGAUAUUCGCAAGAACACCGGUGGCGAAGGCGGCCAACUGGACCAUUACUGACGCUGAGCGCGAAAGCGUGGGGAGCAAACAGG